GCCCACUUCCUCCAAGGCUCCUUCUUUUCACGCCGCUGGCAGCGGGGAAAGACUGACUCAACAACCCCGAGACGUCUUUCUUAUAUUUAGAAAAUAAGAACUCUUUGUUUGGAAGAUUUUUAAAAAAACAGUCGCACAAUUGUCUGUCGAAAGUGUCGACUAGACCCCUCUUCCCAGAAGCUUGGCGGGAGCUGUAUUUGAUUAAGGAGGGGGGAGAGGGAGGAGGGAGAACGUUGACCCGCCUUGACCCCUUUGCUAAGGCGCUUUUGGGGCAGCCCCCUUCCGCCCCCUCUUACCCCCUCCCAGGAUUAAUGAGCCUCAGUGGGCCGGGAGGGCUCUGACGUGCAGGGGCGGUGCCCCGGAUGAAAACAUUGGGAAGGAGCCUUCAGGAUGCAGAAGACUCUGGUGGAGGAAGUGCCCCCAGGGCUGAGGCCAUGGACCUUUACAAACUGCAAAAUGCCCUUUAAGUGGGAGCUGGUAUUUUUCUGGGCAUCCUUUGCUCCUUCCUUCUGUCUGCUUUUCAGUUUUUCUGUUGCUCAUUAGCACCUUCACCAGAACACUGGAAGAGGAAAAGAGGAAAUGAAACUCAAUUUUCCUUCCUGCUAACAGCCCCUCAUUAAAAUAAAUUUUAAAAAAGGCAACAAGUGGGGCAAGACAUUGACAAAAUUGACUAAAAUUAACUGCAGGUUUCUUAAAAACAACACCACCACAUGAAUUUCAAGAGUAUCCACCCUGUUCUAGUUUUUUUUUUUUUAACUGAAGGCAUAAUCAAGAGAGAAAUGUCCUUCUAAGCCAAAUAGAUUUGAGUUCAAAUCUCACCUAUGAUAUAUAAGAAGUGACCUGAGCAAGUCACUUAAUCAUUCAGUGUUCCAGGCAGUUUGUUAAGAUUGAGUGGCAGAGAAGAUGCUAACUUGCAAGGAUAAUUCAUCAUGGCAAUGAAAUCACAGACCCAAUUACCUAUCCUUAUUCUCCCUUUUACCAAAGCCUUCAUUAUAGCCUAUUAGUAUAAUACCUUUCCAUACUUAUUCAUAUUUGCUGUAGUUACUGAAAAUUGGGACAUUCUUUUGCUCAGCUACUUAAGUGGUCUGUUUUUGCCUUUUAUACCCUAAAACACAGUGCCUGCCUAGGACAUAAGGCAAGCUUAGUAAAUGCUUGUUGACUGAUAGAUUGACCAGUUUGGCAGAUAAAAACAUUGGUCUCCUUUCAGCUUUGAGUUUAAAUCGAAGAUUCAUCUUAAACUGUAGUUAGUCUAAGAUCUAUUUCUUAGAGCAUACCAUCUCACUCUGUCCAGCUAGGUGGCAAAGUGGAUAGAGAAAAUUCAGCCUCAGACACUAGCAGUGUGACCUUAAUUCUUUGCCUCCUCAUCUGUCAAAUGAGUUGGGGAAAGAAAUGGCAAACCCCUUUGCCAAGAAAACCUCAGAUAGGGUCAGGAAGACUCAGACACAACUGAAACAGCUGAACAACAAUAACACCACCAUCUCACUCUAAAUGUAACUUAAUUGAAUGGAGCUAUACUUUUAUUUCAGCUUUGGAACUUUAUGGUCUGAAAGGAUCUAAGGAAUUAAACCAGAAGUUGUUGUUUGUCCAUUUUUGAAGAGAUCAGUGACAUCACAAGAUCAAAAUGUAAAACUAGAAGGGACCAUCUAGAGAUCUUUUUAAAGAUGAAAGAAGAUGAGGCACAGAUUAGCAGAGAAACCAAGGCACAGAGAAGAAAAGAAAUUACUCAAGCACAUUCAACUAGUCUGUGGGGGAAGAGUUGGAGGGAGAACCUGGGAGUAGCAACUCAGUCCUCCUGACUUUCAACCCUUGCUCUUUCCAUUAGCCUUUCAAACUGGUUGGUGGUACCACAAACCACAUUUAAGAAGUAAUAUCACCUCUCCUCUUUAUAAAGCUAUUAAAACAAAAUGGAUGGCAAAAUUAUACAUACUUGCCCAGAAUGGUCUUGUUUGAACACUGGAUUUGGGGCUGAGAUGAAUAUGUCUCUGUCUCUUACCUUUCCUUCUGCCUUUCUCUCUGUCUCGGUGUGUUUGUCUCUAUCUUCUGUCUUCCCCUCCCUUCUCCCCCAUUCCCAACCUUGUGAGCAGACAACUGUUUUAAGGCAAAACAAAAGGGGAUGGGGAGGUACCCUCUCAGAAAGUGAUGGGCACAGUGAAAGUGAAAUGCCCUCUCGAACCCUCUUCCUUUCAGAAAAGAGAGGUAUUAUCCCGUGUAGUAGCUGCUUAAUUCAGUGUCUCCCAAGAGCCAGUCUGGGAGUACUCCAUGGUGGGCUGGGUCCCAGAAUACUCCCUUGAUGUCUGGCAACAUGCUAGCAAGAUUCCAGAGCACAGCAACCCCACAGGCUGGGAAGUAGGAUGUUGGAGCCUUUGGAUUCUGGUGUGCAUGCAUCCUUGGCACCUAACAAAGGUGGGCUGGUUUGUCGGGAAUGCAGUUCCCAAUUCCCCAAACUCUACAGCUGCUGGAAGCCAGUCAACACAGUAAA